CUGCUCUGUCCCUGCUUUCUAGCUGUACAGAGUUAAGAAGAGGAUGAUCUGAAGGAUGACGGUGGCCUCUGAGCAGAGAAGGGCAAUUACCGGAAGUAAAGAUGCCGAAUCUUACAGUCUCAGAAGCCAUGUACCUGUGGUCUUUUCACUUCUCAAUCUCCUCUACAAUGACAGUGACUACAAGAGCUGAGAGAGACACCUUGGGCCAGUCCAUGUAACAGAAGGUGACACUGAGGACCAGGAGAAGAGCAUCCGCUCUGGGUCAAACAGCUAGUGCCAACCAGAGCCCUGACCCUGACUCCCAGCCUGGCUGCUCUCCACUGACCCUGCCUCUUUCCUCUUCCUGGCAUUAGACACUGGAGAAAUGGAUUGUAACCAGAUGUCAAAUGGGGUUCUCCUGUUGCCCCGGAAUUGUGGCCAGGGUCCAAGGCUGAGUGCAAACAGUGGGACGUUCCUGCCUGUAAGUACUGAGAAGACCUGAAGUCGGGCUGCC
rnacentral:lncRNA from 1 species